UUCCUUUUCUGAUAUUCAAAAC
rnacentral:misc_RNA from 1 species